GAUGAACGCUGGCGGCGUGCCUAAUACAUGCAAGUCGAGCGAACAGACGAGGAGCUUGCUCCUCUGACGUUAGCGGCGGACGGGUGAGUAACACGUGGAUAACCUACCUAUAAGACUGGGAUAACUUCGGGAAACCGGAGCUAAUACCGGAUAAUAUAUUGAACCGCAUGGUUCAAUAGUGAAAGACGGUUUUGCUGUCACUUAUAGAUGGAUCCGCGCCGCAUUAGCUAGUUGGUAAGGUAACGGCUUACCAAGGCGACGAUGCGUAGCCGACCUGAGAGGGUGAUCGGCCAAACUGGAACUGAGACACGGUCCAGACUCCUACGGGAGGCAGCAGUAGGGAAUCUUCCGCAAUGGGCGAAAGCUUGACGGAGCAACGCCGCGUGAGUGAUGAAGGUCUUCGGAUCGUAAAACUCUGUUAUUAGGGAAGAACAAAUGUGUAAGUAACUAUGCACGUCUUGACGGUACCUAAUCAGAAAGCCACGGCUAACUACGUG
rnacentral:rRNA from 1 species